rnacentral:rRNA from 1 species
UAGAGUUUGAUCCUGGCUCAGGACGAACGCUGGCGGCAUGCCUAACACAUGCAAGUCGAACGGGGAUAGCAAUAUCCUAGUGGCGAACGGGUGAGUAACGCGUGAGUAACCUGCCUCAUACAACGGGAUACCCGAGGGAAACUUCGGUUAAUACGGUAUAAGACCACACUACCGCAUGGUAGAGGGGUAAAAGGGGCAACCUGGUAUGAGAUGGACUCGCGUCGCAUUAGCUAGUUGGUGAGGUAACGGCCCACCAAGGCGACGAUGCGUAGCCGACCUGAGAGGGUGAUCGGCCACAUUGGGACUGAGAUACGGCCCAGACUCCUACGGGAGGCAGCAGUGGGGAAUAUUGGGCAAUGGAGGAAACUCUGACCCAGCAAUGCCGCGUGAAUGAAGAAGGUCUUCGGAUUGUAAAGUUCUUUAGUCAGGGAAGAAGUCAAUGACGGUACCUGAAGAAUAAGCUCCGGCUAACUACGUGCCAGCAGCCGCGGUAAUACGUAGGGAGCAAGCGUUGUUCGGAAUGACUGGGCGUAAAGGGUGCGUAGGCGGUUGUACAAGUUAGAAGUGAAAUACCCAGGGCUUAACUCGGGUGCUGCUUCUAAAACUGUAUGACUUGAGUGCAGUAGAGGUUAGUGGAAUUCCUAGUGUAGCGGUGGAAUGCGUAGAUAUUAGGAGGAACACCAGAGGCGAAGGCGGCUAACUGGACUGCAACUGACGCUGAGGCACGAAAGUGUGGGGAGCAAACAGGAUUAGAUACCCUGGUAGUCCACACUGUAACGAUGGAUACUAGA